GGCCUGAAAUCAGGUAGGACUACCCGCUGAACUUAAGCAUAUCAAUAAGCGGAGGAAAAGAAACUAACAAGGAUUCCCCUAGUAACGGCGAGUGAAGCGGGAAGAGCUCAAAUUUGAAAUCUGGCAGUCUUCGAUUGUCCGAGUUGUAAUCUAUAGAGGCGUUUUCCGUGCCGGACCGUGUCCAAGUCUCCUGGAAAGGAGUAUCAAAGAGGGUGAUAAUCCCGUACUUAACACGACCACCGGUGCUCUGUGAUACGUCUUCUACGAGUCGAGUUGUUUGGGAAUGCAGCUCAAAAUGGGUGGUGAAUUCCAUCUAAAGCUAAAUAUUGGCGAGAGACCGAUAGCGAACAAGUACCGUGAGGGAAAGAUGAAAAGCACUUUGGAAAGAGAGUUAAACAGUACGUGAAAUUGUUGAAAGGGAAACGAUUGAAGUCAGUCGUGUUCUUUGGAUUCAGCCAGUUCUGCUGGUCUACUUCCUUGGAACGGGUCAACAUCAGUUUUGUCCGGUGGAUAAGGUAGUAGGAAUGUGACUUCUCCGGAAAGUGUUAUAGCCUAUUAUCACAUACACUGGGUGAGACUGA
rnacentral:rRNA from 1 species